UUUCCUUUUUUCUUUUUCUUUUUUUUUUUCUCAGGCUAUCCAUUUGCAGAACUAUGUCAGGGUUGUGGGAUUACACAGGGCUCUGUGUGUGAAUGCUUUCUGUGGGCUCUGUCCUGGAAACCUCUUUUUUCUUGAAAAUGGGCCAAUGGGCCUCUUUCUGCUUUGCACCGCAUGGGGACGACUGUGACCGGGCCACACCAGCCCCCAGUCUACACAUACAGCACUUUGUCAACAAGUUAACAACCUAUAAUUGUGAAGAAAAAGAUGCACCUGGAGAAUUUCGAGAGGACAUUAACCGUGUUUUCAUUGCACUGCUGCACUGGCCUGCAGUCCCACAGUUACAACACUGAAAACUCAAUCUAUUUCCUUGUUACUCAUGAUCCUCCUGGUGAUAUUAAAGGCACAGCACGGUGGUUGACCAAGGAACAGUCACUCUUGCAAUCAGUCUCAGUUCAAAGUAGAGAGAGAGGAACCACAAUCACGCACAAAAGCUUGAGACAUAAGAACUUGUAACCAUGACAGCUGCAUCCUACAAACACUACAGAAGACAGUAACAGCAAUUCCUCCCUGCAAAGCCUGUGUUUACUCAGUUUCCUUUGUAUGCAUUGGCAGUCCCCAUUUAAGUACAGUAUCAGUACCACGACAAAACAGUUUUUAAGGUGUCUUGUCAUCAGAGGAAUGUUGUUGACCCUUCCCUCUUUUCAUGGGGUAAUACAGCAAGUAUUUUCUUUGAUGUGGAUCCUUGAGGCACUGAACAUGUGAACUUUCCAGGACUGCGUUAUUUUAUCUCAAAUAAGGGUCAGGAUUUGCAGGUAGAAAGGGUAUGAUCAACUAGUAAGAAUGGAGGAUUGAAAAAGAUUGACAUGGAAGACGGUUGUCCUGGUUUAGUUGGCAGUUAUACAGACCUGAUGUAGUGGAAAUGUCAUGACCUGAAACGGUGAUUGAGCACCUGGUGGGAAGGCAGGGCCAAUCCAGGGGAGCUCAGGUGCAUGCAAUGCUCCUGAGUGACGAGAAGGGGUGGAGCCAGGAUCCAUUCCCCUCCCAGACCUCAUUUAAGGGUUGGCAGCGGAGGUAAAGGUAUCUUCUGUGGGAGGUUCCUGUCUACUGAAGGUCUUCUACAGGCCAAAUAGGAUGAAAGAAACUGAAGUUACUAUUCUGACCCUGCCAGCCCAAUUUCUCUAGGGUGCCUGGAGGGAAACUCGCACACAGACAUCAAGAGAACAGCAAGGCCAAACGGAAGAGAGCUCAGCUGUCACAGGCUUAUUUCAUCCACCACAGAGAAAAGUGAUCCCAGGUACAUCAGCGAGAACUCCUGUGAAACGCACUGACUGCAAUUGACCCCGCAUCCUGCCAAGUCCCAGGAGUGGGACACAAGGGUCUAUUUUUUUUUCCUCCAAGCAGAAAACUAAAAUUACAGGCUUCAAAGGGUCCUGCAACUGUACCAAACAUGAUCCAGAUGCAAGAGUGAAGAAAACAUCUACAAUAUGAUCUAGCUACGGUUCAACCAGCCACA
rnacentral:lncRNA from 1 species